rnacentral:rRNA from 1 species
UACGAAGGGGGCUAGCGUUGCUCGGAAUCACUGGGCGUAAAGCGCACGUAGGCGGCUUUUUAAGUCAGGGGUGAAAUCCUGGAGCUCAACUCCAGAACUGCCUUUGAUACUGAGAAGCUUGAGUCCGGGAGAGGUGAGUGGAACUGCGAGUGUAGAGGUGAAAUUCGUAGAGAUCCGGAAGAACACCGGUGGCGAAGGCGGUCUGCUGGGGUGAUGCUGACACUGAUGCGCGACAGCGUGGGGAGCAAACAGG